GCCCUCAUAGCACAGUGGUAGUGCGUCAGUCUUGUAAACUGAAGGUCGGUAGUUCGAUCCUGCCUGUGGGCA